GCAGCUAACGCAUUAAGUGUACCGCCUGGGGAGUACGGUCGCAAGAUUAAAACUCAAAGGAAUAGACGGGGACCCGCACAAGCGGUGGAGCAUGUGGUUUAAUUCGAAGAUACGCGAAGAACCUUACCUGGGCUUGAUAUCCUAAGAACCUUAUAGAGAUAUGAGGGUGCUAGCUUGCUAGAACUUAGAGACAGGUGCUGCACGGCUGUCGUCAGCUCGUGUCGUGAGAUGUUGGGUUAAGUCCCGCAACGAGCGCAACCCACGUAUUUAGUUGCUAACGGUUCGGCCGAGCACUCUAAAUAGACUGCCUUCGUAAGGAGGAGGAAGGUGUGGACGACGUCAAGUCAUCAUGGCCCUUAUGCCCAGGGCGACACACGUGCUACAAUGGCAUAUACAAUGAGACGCAAUACCGCGAGGUGGAGCAAAUCUAUAAAAUAUGUCCCAGUUCGGAUUGUUCUCUGCAACUCGAGAGCAUGAAGCCGGAAUCGCUAGUAAUCGUAGAUCAGCCAUGCUACGGUGAAUACGUUCCCGGGUCUUGUACUCACCGCCCGUCACACCAUGGGAGUUGAUUUCACUCGAAGCCGGAAUACUAAACUAGUUACCGUCCACAGUGGAAUCAGCGACUGGGGUGAAGUCGUAACAAGGUAACCGUAGGAGAACCUGCGGUUGGAUCACCUCCUUUCUA
rnacentral:rRNA from 1 species